rnacentral:rRNA from 1 species
AUUGAACGCUGGCGGCAGGCCUAACACAUGCAAGUCGAACGAGUGGCGGACGGGUGAGUAAUGUCUGGGAAACUGCCCGAUGGAGGGGGAUAACUACUGGAAACGGUGGCUAAUACCGCAUACGGUCGGAUGUGCCCAGAUGGGAUUAGCUAGUAGGUGGGGUAACGGCUCACCUAGGCGACGAUCCCUAGCUGGUCUGCGAGGAUGACCAGGCACACUGGAACUGAGACACGGUCCAGACUCCUACGGGAGGCAGCAGUGGGGAAUAUUGCACAAUGGGCGCAAGCCUGAUGCAGCCAUGCCGCGUGGAUGAAGAAGGCCUUAGGGUUGUAAAGUACUUUCAGCGGGGAGGCGUUACCCGCAGAAGAAGCACCGGCUAACUCCGUGCCAGCAGCCGCGGUAAUAC